GCCCCCUUUCCGAAGCAGACCUUGGAGGCUUCCCCACCCCAUUCCUCUCACCCCUCCUUUCCCAGCAGAGAGAUAUGAAGACUGACCCAAGGGAGCCAUUGGCCAAAAUUGCUCCCAGGCUGUCUUGGCAAAAAAGCUGAAACUGAAGGUGCAGAACAGAGGGAGGGAGAGCUGCAGACCACAUCUGUCUCUUUGAGGUAGAUGUGCACCAUGAUCCUGUUACAGAGAGGAGGGGAGCCACCAUCACAUGCCUCCACCUGGAACUCAAAAUGAUUGGUAUGCUCAUAAUCAAAGGGGCUCUCUGCAAAAAUUUCACCAUUUGUUGGGUUGAUGGAGACGUAAGUGGUGGGAUCCUCACCAAAUUCCUGCUUUUGGCUGGCCAAAAUAGAAUAAGAAAGACGGGAAUUCUGUUCUUUAUCGGCAUCUGUUGCAGAAACUGUAAGAAGAACCAUGCCUACAGGAUUGUUUUCUUCUAUGACGACUUCAUAAAACGACCUGUCAAAUUGAGGUGGAUUAUCAUUGACAUCAGCCAGAAUAAUGGAGAAAGAUGUGUGUUGGGAGAGCGGUGGAUUUCCUAAAUCAAACGCAUAGAUGGUAACAUUGAAUCGAGGAAUAGUCUCACGAUCUAACUGUUCGCUGGUGAGCAAGGAAUACUGGUGCUCAAAGUCUUUCCGAAGUUUGAAAGGAAGGUUUCUGGGCAGCUCACACUGGACUUUGCCUUGAUCUCCUGAAUCUUUGUCUUUGACGUGUAUCACCGCAACCACAGUGCCAGGAGGUGCAUCUUCGCUCAAGGAGCUGGAGAAAGAGGUGAGAAUGACUUCAGGGGCAUUGUCAUUAAUAUCAGUCACUUCUACCAUAAUACUGCAAUGCUCUUCCAUAGUAGGGGAGCCCAUGUCCCUUGCUACCACUUCAAUCUCAUACACAUUGGCCUCUUCAAAAUCCAGAUUCCCUUGAACACGGAUCUCUCCAGUGGUGCCAUCGAUAGCAAAUAUCCUGCACAAGGCUUCAGAGUUGUGGCUGCUGAGGGAAUACUGGAUCUGUCCAUUAGAGCCUUCGUCCAAGUCUGUUGCAUUCAGUUUUAUCACCAGCGUCCCUGGAGGAGAGUUUUCAACCAAGCGAGUAUAGUAGGUAGCUUUUUCAAAAACUGGGUGAUUAUCAUUGGCAUCCAGGACCUGGACAGCAAUUCGGAUAGCACUAGAUUUGGGGAAUAUGCCACCAUCUUCAGCAGUCAGAACCAAAUGGUGGACAGCAAUGUGCUCCCUGUCCAAGAUUUUCUCCAACACUAAUUCUGGGAAUUUGGUGCCAUCUGUGCGUGCCUUCACGUUGAGGUUGAAGUUUUCAUUGGCGCUGAGAUGGUAGGUCUGCAAAGUGUUUGUUCCUACGUCAGGAUCCUGUGCAUGCGGGAUAGGAAAGCGAGCACCCAGUACAGCCAGUUCAUAGAUCUGCAGAGUUAUUGUGCUACUUGAAAAUUCAGGAGCAUUGUCAUUGAUAUCCAAAAUCUCCACUUCAAUGCGAUAAAACUCCACUGGGUUUUCAAUAGCAAGUUUAAGAUGCAAGAAACACCGCAGAUUCUGCCCACAAAGCUGUUCCCUGUCUAUUCUGUCAUUGACUAUUAUGAUUCCAGUAUUCACAUUCACAGAGAAGUACUGGGAGUCGGAAUCAGAAAGCACCUGCAGAUUGGCAGCUGCAAGCUUUGUUACAUCCAUUCCUAAAUCCUUAGCAACAUUUCCUACAAAGGCUCCUCGAGUGAGUUCCUCUGGGAUAGAGUAACGAAUCUGUGCAAAACAGCCACUCAGAAACAAACAGAAAGCAAAGGCAUGCAGAAGUCCCAAACGCCAGGCAGAGUUUUCUGUUCUGAGCAUCAUUCUGAAAUCCACAGCAAGAAGCUCUAAACUGCAAAACAGGAGCUAUUUAGAGCAGACAGUAUCUCUUUAAACCCCCUGGAGAACACACCACCUAUCUUGAAGAACUAUGAAACAUAUGAGAGAGAAAGGGUCUGUGGUCAAUGUUUACCUCUCUCAUUCAUUGUUUUGGUUUGAGAGAGAUUGACACAGCUGUGGAGGGGAGUGGUACGCGCCGCAGAUCUUCAAUGUUAGCCUUAUGCUCAUUGGCCAAGACUGCCUCCCUAUUCAUCCAAUCAGCAAACUCCUUUCCAGGACAGCAACAGACUCACCAAUCCGAGUCUAGAUGUUGCUACUGUGUGAAAAAGGACCGCGUAACCUGCUGUUUUUAACCUAGAGACACCAGGCUAAACAACAGACAAUGGAAAACAAAGCCUAAAAUCUUGUCUGGUUUUGGCUUCUGUGGCAGAUAUAGGGACCCUGACAAGCACAAGCUGCAAAGAACCGUCUGCUCUAAAAACAUAUUCCGUCUCCCUCUGUCAUAAUAAUUGCUAUUUGCUACUGCAAGUUAUAGAUUUUAUGAAACACCAAACAGAGCCAGACAAAGUAAUCAUGCUUUUAAAUUCCCAAGAUGUUAACUGUUGCCUCACAAUGGCAAAGUUUCUGAAUGAAGUCUGCAAAUUGAAUGUAUGGCAAACAUGAAGUUUUUCUAUUGUAAAAUAUAUUCUGCAUUUUACCCUGUCUUGUUAUAUAUGCCAAUAAACGCUUAUUGGAUUGGA